UGAAGCUCCUGCACUGUACAAAGCUUGGUGGUGUCAAACCGUUUGCAAGCUUAAAAGCUAUUUAAUACAUAUCUAUAACUUUACUUUAAUUACUUUACUGCCAUAAUUGAGUAUAAACAUUUUAAUUUCAUGAAUUUUGCAGAAUGAAAAUGUAGUCCAUAAAGCAUCACAUCCUCUUUGAUAGGUUGGUAAUGACUACUAUUCUGUAGAACAGAUUUCUGCCAAAAGCCACUGGUCACUUAUUCUAGUGUCUGCUGAAAAUGUCAGAUCACCUCCUAAUUUCAAUCUUGC